ACAAUAUUGAUCAAGUGCGAUCAUCUUCGCUCGGUGUGGAAUACAUUUUGAUUAGGCAUGGGCAAAACGAUUCUUUUCACCGAACGCGAACGAACUAGUUCGCUCACCAAAAAGAACCGUACGCGAACGACGAUUCUUUCGUUCUUUGUUUCAUGAGGUUUUUAUUCACAAAGAACGCUCGUUAUCUUUUUCAUUUACUCACCAUAGACGCAUACUGUAGCCAAAGAAGUACUCAUUCUGCGGUUGAAACCAAUAAUUUAAAAACAUUAAACACUCGGCUGUCUGGUCAACACAAUCCAUCGCAAAACCGACCAAAAACUAGCAUGUAAAAAACUAAUACGAGCAAAAAUAUCUCCUGCAUAUAUUGUACCCCAUGCCUUAUACACACUUAAGAAUUCUAUUAAAAAAAACUACUUAAAUAUGGAUCAACAUGAUGAGCGCAAUCAAUUCAGUUCAGUUCAUUCGCGAACAAUGACUAAUCCGUUUGAACGGGCUCGAUCUAUUGAAUUGUAUAGGUAUAAUUUCCAUACCAACAGAACACAGAUCGAACACCAGUUCGAACGCGUUCGAUGAAUUCAGUUGUGUAGGUACGAUUUACACACCAACAGAACACAGAUCGAACACCAGUUCGAACGCGUUCGAUGAAUUCAGUUGUGUAGGUACGAUUUAUACACCAACAGAACACAGAUCGAACACCAGUUCGAACGCGUUCGAUGAAUUCAGUUGUGUAGGUACGAUUUAUACACCAACAGAACACAGAUCGAACACCCGUUCGAACGCGUUCGAUGAAUUCAGUCGUAUAGAUACGAUUUCCACACCAACAGCACACGUAUCGAACACUGCUGGACAAAUUCGACGGCGUUCGAGGAAUUGAGUUGUAUGGGUACGAUUUCAACACCAACAGGGUACAUUUUGAUCUCUGACGACCCGUUCGCACGGUGCGAGAAAGAGCGAGAAAGCAAUAUGAUUUUGUACGUUUUAUUACCACAUUUAUGUGUGCCGUCGAACACUGAACGGAACGUUCGAACGCGUUCGGUGUAGUCAGUUUCUUCCAAAAGUCCUGGUCGUUCUUUUUGUUAAGAACUUCGUUCGUUCGUGCACUUUACCGAACUGUUCGAACGGUGCGAUUCUCGUUCAUUUUACACAUGCCUAAUUUUGAUUAUUGCUUGAGGGCUCAAUCUUUUUCAAGUUUAAUGGUAAGAACGCGAUGGAACAUAAUUAAAUAAUUUGAUUUUUCUUUUCAAUUUAGUUAAUAUUAAUUGAGAUAAGUCUGAUACAAGCCACAGAUCUGUAAGUCAACAUUAUCAAAAUCUCUCCCUUAAAUUUCAAAAAAGCUUAAAAAAAACUAAAAAAGCAACCAUCCAACAUUGUAUAACAAUUCCCUUUCGCCGUCGUGCUGGCUCUAAUCUCACGCUUGAUUUAUGAUCUCCAUUCUUCACCGAAAAAAUAAUCGUUCCAUCCGCGAAUAGCCGUGCAAACGACGGGUUGGAUUGCGUGUUUUAGUUAGGCUGCCUUUUUUUUAUUUAUUUUUUUGUUGUUGACCACCGGCCUUCGAACGACAUUAUUAUUAUUAUCAUUGUGAGCUGAAGCAGCAUGCCGGGUACGGUUGCCAGUACCGUUUGUUGGGGGGGCUUUCGGUUUUGAUUCCUUAAAUCACCACCGAGGGUGAACUCUAUUGUUCUAUUUGGUGGAUUUACGUGCUGUGGUGGC